UACGUAGGUGGCAAGCGUUGUCCGGAUUUAUUGGGCGUAAAGAGCUCGUAGGCGGUUCAGUAAGUCGGGUGUGAAAACUCUGGGCUUAACCCAGAGCCGCCACCCGAUACUGCUGUGACUAGAGUCCGGUAGGGGAGUGGGGAAUUCCUAGUGUAGCGGUGAAAUGCGCAGAUAUUAGGAGGAACACCGGUGGCGAAGGCGCCACUCUGGGCCGGAACUGACGCUGAGGAGCGAAAGCGUGGGGAGCAAACAGG
rnacentral:rRNA from 1 species